UUCUGUUUGGAAAAGGCAAGGUUCUGUGGCUAAAAACUGUGAGAGCUGUUGAAUUAGAUGACUGUCAUCUCUUCCAAUCUGGGAUGCCAUGUGUAUCUUUUACUGAGUGGUAUUUUUUAAAGUUCCUGGGUAACAAGUGAUGGUCUCUAGCCUGAUGAAAACAUAAGUAUUCUAAGAAUAAAAUGCUUUGUAUACAAAUGUCAACUAAAGAAUACUGACUUCCCAAUAUGGGGAGCUAUGAAUGGGGAGUUGAAUUUUUUAAAUAAUUUACUUCCUUCUGUUCCAAGUCCUUUGGCUUAGUCACAGAAAUAACAGAGAGUAAGAAAGACUGUGGCUGGGGAUAACAAGAGUAUCAUGGUAACCAAGGAACAGAAGACAUGAGUGAGAGAAGACUGGAGAUGAUGGGUCAGAAUCAGUGUGUCUCCAGCUGAGGAUAUUCUCAAGAGUAUUGUUAAAAAAAGACCUCAAAGGUUAAUUAAUGAAACACCCCAAAGGUUGGAGUUUCUUUACAUGAAGAAAUAAAAGACACUCAUCAGCUCUGGAGGCUGCUUGGUAACAGCACGGAUCAAAUAGCUGCCAAGAUCAGUAUUUACUUCUUUCUCAACUAGUUGCUUCAACAGAAUAAGGAGCUUGGAUUAGCUUGGAUUUGUCAAAAUCAAUGGGAGAAGAUGAAAUGCUCUACAAUGAAGGCUGUAGCAUCUAUAUCUAUGAUACGUCAAAGAGGAAAGGAGUCAGGAAGUGGGGAUUUGCCAGUUAUAAACCUAGUAUGUAUCUCAUGGUCAUGUCCCAAAAUCUUUGCAUCUCUAAUAUCCAAGAUAAUACUCCUAUACAAUAGGUGUUCAACAAAUGUCUGAAUGUGUGAAUGACGAGAUCAAUGUAAAGAUACUAAGUUCAAUUGAAGCCUGAGAAUUCAUGGGAUAAAAGUUCUGGAUAACUGUUAAGCUAAGUUGUUCUAUAUAUCUAAAUUCAAAGUACAUAUGAAAUUUGUUCUCUUACUUUAACCUAUUAAUUAUAAAGCUUAUCUGAUCUUCA